rnacentral:rRNA from 1 species
UAAGGAAUAUUGCUCAAUGGGAGAAAUCCUGAAGCAGCAACGCCGCGUGGAGGAUGAAGGGUCUAUGACUUGUAAACUCCUGUAAAGAAGGAAAAAAUUCCCAUUAGAUGGGAGAUGAUGGUACUUCUGGAGUAAGCCCCGGCUAACUACGUGCCAGCAGCCGCGGUAAUACGUAGGGGGCAAGCGUUGUCCGGAUUUACUGGGUGUAAAGGGUGCUCAGGCGGAUUUGUAAGUCAGAGGUGAAAUCUUACAGCUUAACUGUGAAACUGCCUUUGAUACUGCAAGCCUAGAGUAUGGAAGAGAGUGAUGGAAUAUCUGGUGUAGCAGUGAAAUGCGUAGAUAUCAGAUAGAACACCAAUGGCGAAGGCAGUCACUUGGGCCAUUACUGACGCUAAAGCACGAAAGCGUGGGUAGCAAACA